CCCCUUUAAAAAUGAUUUGUCCUCGAAUCAGACACUUCUUACGUAGGAGUUUCACCAAUCUUAUUUUCUUUGAGAAAAUAUUCUGUAAAACAACACUAUUUAACAAAGAAGAUUUGAUGUAAGUUAAUAAUUUUUUCUUGAAAGAUGGUCUCCUUAGCUCUUGUUCCAUAUAAUAACAUUCUCUUUUCAUGUUCCUCAAUCAUUUAUUUCCUCCAGACUUUAUAGAGUUUUUGAGUUGUUA
rnacentral:lncRNA from 1 species